UACGAAGGGGGCUAGCGUUGUUCGGAUUUACUGGGCGUAAAGCGCACGUAGGCGGAUUGUUAAGUCGGGGGUGAAAUCCUGGAGCUCAACUCCAGAAUUGCCUUCGAUACUGGCUUUCUAGAGGCUGGAAGAGGUUAGUGGAAUUCCCAGUGUAGAGGUGAAAUUCGUAGAUAUUGGGAAGAACACCAGUGGCGAAGGCGGCUAACUGGGCCGACCCUGACGCUGAGG
rnacentral:rRNA from 1 species